UGUGGCUUAGUUGUUUAAAGCACCGGUCUAACGUGGGUUCGAAUCCCACCA
rnacentral:tRNA from 1 species